GUGUUUGCUUUGUUAGCACAUAUACUGAAAAUUGAAAUGAUACAGAGAUUACCAUGACCCCCAUGCAAAGAUGACAUGAAAAUUUAUGAAGUGUACCAUAUUUUU